GGCAGUUGGAUUCAAUUCCACGGCGAAGGUGAAAGGCGACCUUUCAUCAGUCGAGUGUUUUGGUCCAUUCUGCAAAUCGUCGUGUGAUGGAGUACUAAACAUUUGUAUGUCAAAGUGCAACGGUCGCGCGUGUCAUUCUAAGUGCAACGCUGGUGCGUGUCUUACAUUG